GACGAACGCUGGCGGCGUGCUUAACACAUGCAAGUCGAACGGAAAGGCCCUGCUUUUGUGGGGUGCUCGAGUGGCGAACGGGUGAGUAACACGUGAGUAACCUGCCCUUGACUUUGGGAUAACUUCAGGAAACUGGGGCUAAUACCGGAUAGGAGCUCCUGCUGCAUGGUGGGGGUUGGAAAGUUUCGGCGGUUGGGGAUGGACUCGCGGCUUAUCAGCUUGUUGGUGGGGUAGUGGCUUACCAAGGCUUUGACGGGUAGCCGGCCUGGGAGGGUGACCGGCCACAUUGGGACUGAGAUACGGCCCAGACUCCUACGGGAGGCAGCAGUGGGGAAUAGUGCACAAUGGGCGGAAGCCUGAUGCAGCAACGCCGCGUGCGGGAUGACGGCCUUCGGGUUGUAAACCGCUUUCGCCUGUGACGAAGCGUGAGUGACGGUAAUGGGUAAAGAAGCACCGGCUAACUACGUG
rnacentral:rRNA from 1 species